AACGAACGCUGGCGGCGUGCCUAAUACAUGCAAGUCGAACGAGAAAGUGGGGCAACCCAUGAGUAAAGUGGCAAACGGGUGAGUAAUACAUAGGUAACUUUCCUUAGAGAUUGGGAUAACCUUCCGAAAGGAGGGCUAAUACCAAGUAAGACCACAGUCACUCCGGUGACAGGGGUUAAAGGAUGGCCUCUACUUGUAAGCUAUCGCUCCUAGAUAGGCCUAUGCACCAUCAGCUAGUUGGUGUGGUAACGGCUCACCAAGGCUUUGACGGUUAGCUGAUCUGAGAGGUUGAUCAGCCACACUGGAACUGAGACACGGUCCAGACUCCUACGGGAGGCAGCAGUAGGGAAUAUUGCGCAAUGGGGGAAACCCUGACGCAGCGACGCCGCGUGGGCGAUGAAGGCUUUCGGGUCGUAAAGCCCUGUCGGGAGGGAAGAAAAACGGAAAGGUGAAUAUCCUUCCGCUUGACGGUACCUCCAAAGGAAGCACCGGCUAACUACGUGCCAGCAGCCGCGGUAAAAC
rnacentral:rRNA from 1 species